UAAAAAUUUGAUUUUAGUUUUUAAAUUUGGUUUAUGUUCUAAUUAUAUAUAAAUUUUUGUGAUAUAAGUAAUUUUAAAUAGUAAUUUAUAUAGUAGUAAUAAUAAGAUUUAUACCAUGAAAGAAAUUUUGAUAUAGGGAUAAAUAAUAAUAUUGAUAAAAUUUGUGCCAGCAAUCGCGGUUAAACAGGUGAUAUAAUUAAAUUUUGUUUAAUAAUAAUUAAUAAGUUUAAAUUAAUUUAAAAUUAAAUUUAAUAGGUGAAAUUAUAAAUUUAAAUUAAAUUAAUAUAAAGAUUAUGAGGUUAUGAAAUUCUGGGAUUAGACUAGGAUUAGAUACCCUAUUAUAAAGAAUAUAAAUUAAAAAUGUUAGGGGAGUAGUAGUUAUUAUCUUGAAAUUUAAAGAAUUUGGCGGUAUUUUAAUCUUUUCAGAGGAACCUGUUCUAUAAUUGAUAAUCCACGAUUAAUUUUACUUAAUUUUAGAAGUUUAUAUAUCGUCGUAGUUUGAAUAUCUUUAGAGAGAAAUAAUUGAAUGUUCAUGAUUUAGGGUUAAAUAAAGAAAAUCAGAUCAAGGUGUAGCUGAUAAUUAAGAAGAAAUGGGUUACAAUAAAUUUAUUUAUAUGGAUGUAAAAUUUAAAGUUAUUAUUGAAAUUGGAUUUGAAAGUAAUUAAUUUUAUAUAAAAUUAGUGAUUUUAGCUCUAAAAUAUGUACAUAUCGCCCGUCGCUUUCAUUGAAAAUUAAAUUGAAAUAAGUCGUAACAUAGUGGGCGUACCGGAAGGUGCGCCUGGUUUGUU
rnacentral:ncRNA from 1 species